GACGAACGCUGGCGGCGUGCCUAAUACAUGCAAGUAGAACGCUGAAGGAGGAGCUUGCUUCUCUGGAUGAGUUGCGAACGGGUGAGUAACGCGUAGGUAACCUGCCUGGUAGCGGGGGAUAACUAUUGGAAACGAUAGCUAAUACCGCAUAAUAGUAGAUGUUGCAUGACAUUUGCUUAAAAGGUGCAAUUGCAUCACUACCAGAUGGACCUGCGUUGUAUUAGCUAGUUGGUGGGGUAACGGCUCACCAAGGCGACGAUACAUAGCCGACCUGAGAGGAUGAUCGGCCACACUGGGACUGAGACACGGCCCAGACUCCUACGGGAGGCAGCAGUAGGGAAUCUUCGGCAAUGGACGGAAGUCUGACCGAGCAACGCCGCGUGAGUGAAGAAGGUUUUCGGAUCGUAAAGCUCUGUUGUAAGAGAAGAACGAGUGUGAGAGUGGAAAGUUCACACUGUGACGGUAUCUUACCAGAAAGGGACGGCUAACUACGUG
rnacentral:rRNA from 1 species